rfam:Brassica rapa chromosome A9, whole genome shotgun sequence.
GGAAUAUAAAAAUCUAUUUCUUAACUUUUAACUAAAAAAACUAAGAACCGGUUCUUAAUAAGAUAUUUAAGAACCGGUUCUUAGCUUUUUUAGUUAAAAGUUAAGAGACGGGUUCUUAUAUUCC